rnacentral:rRNA from 1 species
CAGUCGUACCUUCGGGUAAUCAGCCUUUCGAGUGCGAUUCUGUGGAGUGUGAGGAGCUAAACACCUUCAUGCCUGCAUAUUCGUGCUCUUGGGUGUACUUGCUCGUGUGUAAGUUAACAUCAAUUUUGGUGGUCAUAAAAUGGCUGGAGGAAUAUAGCUUCGAUCUCGUAUUGAAGUGUUAUAGCCUUUGGUAGAUGUGAUGAUCAGGAUUGAGGAUUGCAACGGAUACCCUUCGGGGCUACUUGUCUGAUCUCUGAUUGUUGCUCUGGUGCUGAAAGCUUGCUUAUGGCUAUCAGAAUCGAUGGUCAAUAGGUUAGAAUGGGUUAAAUUCGUUAAGGAUGUU